rnacentral:lncRNA from 1 species
AUGGGGUGGAGCCACGGAAGUUCGCGCCAUUUGCAGAGGGGAGGAGCCCAGCCUCUUGCGUUCCUGUGUGAUGGGGCCGGAGCCAGUAAACAGGCUUCCUUCUCGCUCUGCUGUAUAAGAAGAAGAAGUAGGAGAAACAAAAUAAGGAGGAGAAGAAGUAAAAUAAUUUGAGAAGGAAUAUGAAGGGGCUGAAAUCCUGGGCUUUCUGGGCAGAAGGAUCUACGAGCGGGAUCGUGGGUGAAACAUGAAGAUGAUGGUGGACAGGUGAGCUACGCAGUUCGUGGAAGAACCAGGGGUCACAUGGCCUAGAUGCUACCCUAGAUGAGAAAGAGUCCAAUGGUUAUCAACAAGUUCUGAAAGGCAAGGCCUAAGGUCCCAUGUGGACAAGCCAGUAAGAGUUUUCAACUUGGGUGCCAGCAGUAACCGGUUAUACAAAGGAAACUCAACAUUCCUCUUCCCCAAAGUAAACCUAUUGCAAAAACCCCUUCCAUCUAAUAAUAGCAACUCAAGUUCCAGAACAACAAAGAACAGCUGAUCGACUAAUCCAGAGGCCAAACUUCUAACCUCAAAAUGGUAGGUCUUCAACUUCUGAGGUAAUGCAUCCUGCCCUAGCACUGACUUUUAACAAUCAAGAAAAAUCAUCAGUUCUUCUCUCGGCAAGUUCUGUGUUCUAUAUACAAGUCUAAGCUCUUCUACAAUGAAUGGAACUGCUUUUCAUGCUUUUCAUUGCAAUAAGUAGCAGGGGCAGAGGAAAUAAUGAGUACUUCCUCAAAAACUUGUCUCUGCUGUUUGUGUGGGGAUUGUGGACAUUUUUCGCUAUCCACUAUUCUGGAAGUUGAGUGUCAGACAUGAAAAGUUCAAGCUUUUGUGAAAAUAAUCUGCCCUUCCCUGAGAAAUCAAUGCAUCAUAAUGCUUUCAAUCAGCAGUAAUGAGCCAGUGUGUCUCUUUCUCCUUGGAGCCUUCCUUGUGUUAUUAAAAAAGUAGUUUGAUAAAAAUAAAAAUGAAGGCUUAACAAUAGAACAUGAAAUUAAAAUUAAAUGGAUUUUUAGAGUCCCCCAAAAAACACCAAAAUAAUAAUAAUAAUAAUAGGCCACAAGUAAUGCCUUCAUGGUUUAGAAGAAGGUCUCUCAAAGG